rnacentral:rRNA from 1 species
CCGAUAGUGAACCAGUACCGUGAGGGAAAGGCGAAAAGAACCCCGGAGAGGGGAGUGAAAUAGAACCUGAAACCGUAUGCGUACAAGCAGUGGGAGCCUACUUUGUUAGGUGACUGCGUACCUUUUGUAUAAUGGGUCAGCGACUUAUUUUCAGUGGCGAGCUUAACCGAAUAGGGGAGGCGUAGCGAAAGCGAGUCUUAAUAGGGCGUCUAGUCGCUGGGAAUAGACCCGAAACCGGGCGAUCUAUCCAUGGGCAGGUUGAAGGUUAGGUAACACUGACUGGAGGACCGAACCGACUACCGUUGAAAAGUUAGCGGAUGACCUGUGGAUCGGAGUGAAAGGCUAAUCAAGCUCGGAGAUAGCUGGUUCUCCUCGAAAGCUAUUUAGGUAGCGCCUCGUGUAUCACUGCUGGGGGUAGAGCACUGUUUCGGCUAGGGGGUCAUCCCGACUUACCAAACCGAUGCAAACUCCGAAUACCAGCAAGUGUCAGCACGGGAGACACACGGCGGGUGCUAACGUCCGUCGUGAAAAGGGAAACAACCCAGACCGUCAGCUAAGGUCCCAAAGUCAUGGUUAAGUGGGAAACGAUGUGGGAAGGCUUAGACAGCUAGGAGGUUGGCUUAGAAGCAGCCAUCCUUUAAAGAAAGCGUAAUAGCUCACUAGUCGAGUCGGCCUGCGCGGAAGAUGUAACGGGGCUCAAACCAUGCACCGAAGCUACGGGUUCAACGCAAGUUGAGCGGUAGAGGAGCGUUCUGUAAGCCUGUGAAGGUGAGUUGAGAAGCUCGCUGGAGGUAUCAGAAGUGCGAAUGCUGACAUGAGUAACGACAAUGCGAGUGAAAAACUCGCACGCCGAAAGACCAAGGGUUCCUGCGCAACGUUAAUCGACGCAGGGUGAGUCGGUCCCUAAGGCGAGGCUGAAGAGCGUAGUCGAUGGGAAACGGGUUAAUAUUCCCGUACUUCUAGUUACUGCGAUGGGGGGACGGAGAAGGCUAGGCCAGCAAGGCGUUGGUUGUCCUUGUUUAAGGUGGUAGGCAGAGAUCUUAGGUAAAUCCGGG